UGUGUGUGUGUGUGUAGUCCCACCCUGUGUGUGUGUGUGUAGUCCCACCCUGUGUUCUGUGUGUGUGUGUGUGUGUGUGUGUGUGUGUGUGUGUGUGUGUAGUCCCACCCUGUGUUCUGUGUGUGUGUGUGUGUGUGUAGUGUGUGUGUGUGUGUGUGUAGUCCCACCCUGUGUUCUGUGUGUGUGUGUGUGUGUGUGUGUGUGUGUGUGUGUGUAGUCCCACCCUGUGUUCUGUGUGUGUGUGUGUGUGUAGUCCCACCCUGUGUGUGUGUGUGUGUGUGUGUGUGUGUAGUCCCACCCUGUGUGUUCUGUGUGUGUGUGUGUAGUCCCACCCUGUGUGUGUGUGUGUAGUCCCACCCUGUGUGUGUGUGUGUGUGUGUGUGUAGUCCCACCCUGUGUUCUGUGUGUGUGUGUGUGUGUAGUCCCACCCUGUGUUCUGUGUGUGUGUGUGUGUGUGUGUGUUCCCACCCUGUGUUCUGUGUGUGUGUGUGUGUGUGUGUGUGUGUAGUUCCACCCUGUGUUCUGUGUGUGUGUGUGUGUGUGUGUGUGUGUGUGUGUGUGUGUGUAGUCCCACCCUGUUGUGUGUGUGUGUGUGUGUGUGUGUGUAGUCCCACCCUGUGUUCUGUGUGUGUGUGUGUGUGUGUGUAGUCCCACCCUGUGUGUGUGUGUGUGUGUGUGUGUGUGUGUGUAGUCCCACCCUGUGUGUGUGUGUGUGUAGUCCCACCCUGUGUGUGUGUGUGUGUGUGUGUAGUCCCACCCUGUGU
ensembl:lncRNA